UAAAAUAUCUUUUCAAAGGUGGUUUUUGCCAAAAUCGUCUUUAAAAUAAGAUAUUCAAAGUCAGUCUUUAUAAAGGGACUGUCAUAGACAUUUUUUUCCUCGCGCCUGUUCCUCUUCACAUCGCACCCCUUCCUCUCCUCUGGAGUUUACAUACCUAGCUAGGUAGCGCCACUUAAACCCGAGGCUAGCCAGAGAACUAGUUGCAAUGGUCCGCAACAGGUUCUUCCUCAUUCCCUUUCUUUUUCUCAAACCCUAACCUUUUCAAUUUCUUCCCCUUCAUCGUCCAAAACGCAAACCCUAGUACCUCAUUUCAUGAAUCGCUUGAACCCUAGUGUGUCGUUUCGUGAACCACUGUAGCUUCUUCUUCAUUAUCCUCACGUGCAGAGGAAGUUUGAGAAGGGCUUGAAGCACUAGCUUGGAGUCUUUCUCCAACGAAAAGUUCGCAAAGAAGAUUGUAGAUCUUGCACUCAAGUUUCAGCUCUCUGAAGAAAAAAAAUUAAUUGAUGUGCUACGAUGUUGUAGAUACGAUGCCUAUGGUGGAGAUCCCACUAGCGUCAAGCUUCCAUAUGUUUGAGAAGGCCCAUAAAAUGGAUCAAACAUCAAGUGGGCGUGGUGUUCGUUAGUUCAAGAGUUACCUAUUGCACAAACAGGAAAAGCCAUAGCAGAUUCUCGCUUGAUUAUCAUAUAUUGGAUACAGAAGCACCAAAGCAAUGUGAUUGAAGGUGAGUUUAUGCCCAAUUUGACCUUUUAUGUGUAUCCAUUUACCUUAUUUUCUCGUUUGCCUUAAUGACUGUACUGUGAAUGAUAGGUUAAGGAACUAGCCCUAUUAGUAAUUUUCUAUCCAAUGAAAAUGGGAAUUUUCUAUCCUUCUAUGGUGAGGUGGAAGAUGGUGAAUUAAGAGCGUGCUUGAGCAAUGGUACAGUUUUGUUCUAGAUAGUGAACAAGCUACGACAUGGUACCGUGAAUUUGGCUGAAGAUGCUAAAGCAGAACUCACACAGAAGGCCCAAGAAUAUGAGAAUCAAUUGAAAUCAUUAAGAAAUAAGGUGAUGGAAUCGUGGCUUGCUUAUGCACCCGUGAAGAAUAAUGCUGAGGAUGCUGUUAAGGUACAACAUAAAUUCUAAUGUAUUAAUUUACACAUCGAGAAACAAAGUUGAUAAAAAGAAAUAGAGGGAGUAUGACUUUUUAGCCCUUGAUUUCAUAUUGAAGUGUAAGAACUAUGCAGUACUUAAUUGAAGUAGAUUGGUAAGGUAUGACCAAGAAGAUUGGAUGUAAUUGGGAAAUUUGGAUUUGAAAUGCUAUUUUGAUGGUAGUGGU